UUCGGAAUAAAGGAUACGCCAGAAUUGUGCAGUCGAGACGACAACUUCUGUGUCCGUUUCAAAUAUAUUACUACUGGACGACUAGAAUUAAGUCUGAGGCAGGUAACAUCAACAGUGAGGACAAACCCAGCCUGUCUCUCUCAUUCCACACUGAGUCCAAACCUACAGUCACUGGGUCCAGAUUGUGACAGUGGAGCCCAGUUUGCACUGCAGGAUCCAGAGAUGGCAUCAGUGAAGCUGGAAGACUGCAGUCAAACACUGGAGCUGAAUGUCAACAUUAAAGAUGAAGAAGAGGAGGAGGAGAUUGGGAAAUCUGUUUCUCAUGGAGACCAUGUUGAGACAUUCUCUACAUCCAGAGAGCAACAGAGGGAACAUCACAGAGCUAAAGGGUCUCACAGCUGCCCACAUUGACCUGAGCCAUAGGACCAUGCCUCAGGACUACCUGGCAUGAUGACUCCUUGCUGUCCCCAGUCCACCUGGUCGUGCUGCUGCUCCAGUUUCAACUGUUCUGCCUGCAGCUAUGGAAUCCUGACCUGUUCACCUGACGUGCUACCUGUCCCAGACGUAUUAUUUGACCAUGCUGGUCAGUUAUCAACAUUUGAACAUCCUGGCUAUGUUCUAUUAUAAUCUCCACCCUCAUAGCCUGGUUCCUCUCUAGGUUUCUUCCUAGGUUUUGGCCUUUCUAGGGAGUUUUUCCAAGCCAACAUGCUUCAACACCUGCAUUGCUUGCUGUUUGGGUUUUAGGCUGGGUUUCUGUACAGCACUUUGAGAUAUCAGCUGCUGUACGAAGGGCUAUAUAAAUACAUUUGAUUUGAUAUUUCACAUAUCUUGCUAGAUAUGCCUUUUGUUGUGAUAUUUCACAUAUCAUCUUGCUAGAUAUGCCUUUUGUUUUGCUCGUGAGGAGUAAUGGCCGAGAGAAGGCAGGAGACACUUUGUUUUGUUUAGCGUCGUUAGGUUAGACUGCUCCCUUUUAUGGAUCAGUCAUCCACCAGGCUACGAUUAGGGGGAGGUGGGAGGGGAAGCGUUGGGAGUCUCGGUUCGGGAGACAGUGGAAUGGGGUUCAGUGUUUACCUGUUGUUAGCAUAGAUUUCUUUUUGUUUGUUCCAACAGAUCUUUACAUAUUUUUCUCACUACAAAAUAUUAAUGAGGUCCUUGUGGAUACUAAAUAUAUUUUAAAUAUUCCUUUAUGCUAUAGCUUAUUCCAUGUUUACAUCUUGGUUAAAUGACAUCAAAUGCAAAACUGAAAUUUACUUUGUGGAAUGUCUGUGGAGUUUGUAAACUAUCCAAGUUUAAACAAGUGAUUACUAGGCUUAAACAACUUCAUUCGUCUAUUGUGUUCCUACAAGAAAUUCACUUGUUGAAGGAUGUGCUACUUAAGGUACACAGGAGAUGGCAAGGGCAAGUAAUAGCAUCCUGUUUCUCCUCUCAUUCUCAUUCUGUUAUGGUUUGAAUUCACUAAUCGGUUCCGUUUCAAGUGGAUAACAUUAUAACUGAUACAUCUGGUAGAUACAUUUUGAUACAGGAACCUCUUUGAAUGAGCAUAUUCAUCUGGUUAAUGUUCAUGGUCCUAAUGAUGAUGAUCCCAUUUCUAUUGAUAACCUUCCAAAUGGCAGGGGAUUUUAAUUGGUCCUCCUCUAGAUCGCUCUUCUGGUUAGACAUUUUCCAUUCGCAAAGUAGAAAGAAAUUACAGCAUUUGUUUAAGGACUUUAAUCUAUGUGAACCUUGGAGGAUUAAGAACCCGUAGAAAAGGGAGUAAUCACGUUACUCAUCAACAUUUUAAUCAUAUUCUCGUAUAGAUUACAUUUUAGUUUCUUGCUCAUUGCUUCCAAAUGUAGCAGGAAGUGGAUAUGAUAGUAUUGUUCUGAGUGACCGUUCCCCUGUGUCAUUAUUCUAUAGGGAUACAAAACCAGUAAAAGGAUCCUCUAGUUGGCGUUUGUGUCCCAAAUGGUUACAGGACCCAGACGUCUUACAUUAUGUUGGAGUGCAUAUAGAUGUUUAUUUUACAUUGAACACUGACCAAACGUCAGCGACUACCAGAUGGGAGGCUUUCAAAGCAUGUAUUAUGGGGCAAAUUAUACAUUUUACAACUUUGAAUCUCCUGAGAACUUAACUAAUCAGGUAUUGAUUUUCCCUCUAUGUCAGAAGACAUUACAUUGGAUCUGGAAAAGGAAUUGGAUGGUGUUGAAACAUCUGAUGCUAUUUUCAAUAUGAAGGGAGGUAAAGAGGCAGGUCCAGAUGGGCUCCAAAUAGAUAUUUAGAAGAUAAUUAAGGACAAACUUCUAGGUCCACUUCUGGAUAUGUAUAGAGGUAUCUAACCUCUAAACGAGCUUCAAUGCCAUACAACACUCCUUCCGUGGCCUCCAACUGCUCUUAAACGCUAGUAAAACCAAAUGCAUGCUUUUCAACCGAUCGCUGCCUGCACCCGCUUGCCCGACUAGCAUCACCACACUGGAUGGUUCCGACCUUGAAUAU